ACUCUUUGUAAGACGGGAUCCUGGUGUAUGGGUUGUAUCAUGGAGCUAUUAACACUGUGUUUAUAGGGAUAGGAUAGCUCCAUGGUUGUAUACCCAAUCUCUAAUAGCUUCAUGGUAUACCAUAUAUUGCGCAUUUAUUGAGUGAGUGAAGGGAUUUCCGAACAAAUAAGUACUACCUUCCAGAUGAAUGGGCCCUGGGUUUUCCCACGGUGGGUUUUCCCCGCGACUAGUGUAUGGGGGAAUCCCCGAUAGUGAUGUCAUGGACCUUCGCUCGAUCGCAAAGCAGUGCGCUUGUAGCGGCCAUUUCUAUACAGGAGCAAGCCAGGCCACAACCACCUCGCAUGCUUGUGUGAGUGGCCACAACCACUGUGUAACAUUAAUGGUGGUCCCUUGAACUUGAAGCUAGUUCGAAAAGGAGUACCAGAAGAAUGGAAAGAGGCAAGCUCUAUCUACUCAACCUGAUCUGACACUGUGACACUCACAAGAAAACGAGCAGGAGGAUAUCUGUGUUAAGAGUAGCUGGUCACCUGCAAGCUCAGUCUGAACCCAUCCCAUUUCAUGUUUCCACCAUGCCUAAGAACAGGGGAUCACAUCGAAAUAGGAAGAGGCCUAAAGCAUCUGCAAAGCAUGGAUCAACACAGUCAAAAGAUGAGAACACUGAAGGACCCAGUACCGAUCCCCAAGGGACACCGGGAAACAGAGAAGCUCUUCCUGUCAUGGAUGCAGCCACAGCAAUGACCAAAAUGAGACUUAAAGGGGACGAGAGUCAAGAAGACAGUACCCUACUCCAAGGCAACAGUUCUCUCCCUGAUCAACCCUCAGCUAGCGUCAGUGAAGUACAAAGGGAUUUGCUGGAUAGCUUACCAGGUAUGUACAUGUCCUUGAUGGCCGAUUCCACCCCAACACCAGGGUGAAUUGAAUAGAUCUAGGAAAAAAUCUAGACAGCAACAAAGCUUGUCUUUGGGUUUGGUAAAGGGUCAACAAUGUGUAUUAAAACCGUUUCAAAGUAGUCCCAAAUACAUGUACGUCUCAAAUCCAUCUCAGCAAAGUGAGAUGCAGUACACGUCAGAUGGAAUGGAGCAUCAAUUCUUUGGUAAUUAUAUACUCGCAAUUUACCGACACCCCCCUCUCCCCUCGAAUUUUUUAAUGUACUCUAAUGCUUUGAAAUUUCUAAAUUGCUUGCUCUCACUUGUGUAUACCUACAUGUAUAUGAAAAUAAAUACAGGAUGAAUGUUUUCAGACAACAUAAAUCAAACCAUCAAAAUAACCUACAGAUCCCAAAACUUACAGCGAUAGAGAAGAGUUGUAAAUUCCCUUGAAUUGAAAAUGGCUGUCAAAGUGAGUAACCCAUUAAUAUUUUAUCAUCUCUAACGGAUAGUUUGUGUGUUUAUACUGCAUUUUGAUAACCAAAAUAAAAGAAGAUUUAAAAAGUAGUGAAGAAAAAAUGUCUUUAUAAUGAUAAAUAAAUGUACAGUUCUCAUACAGUGCAUAUCAAUAAAACGUUAAUACUAGGAUAAAGUCUUCCACAUUGAAAAUUAUACAACAUAUGGAUAUUUUUUCCCAUAUAUCCUUAGGGUUUGGUUUCAUCUAUCAGAUGAAAGUAUAUUUUUGAUGUAUUCUUAUGCCUGGGUGAGCACUGUCCAUUUUUGUAAAGCUCACAGAAAUCGGUUGGCGCAGAAAUGAUGAUUUUGACGCUCAGUGUGUCGAUGGAAAACAGC